rnacentral:tRNA from 2 species
CAUCAGAUGACUGAAAGUAAGUAAUGGUCUCUUAAACCAAAAUAUAGUAAAUUAACGUCUACUUCUGAUGA